rnacentral:rRNA from 1 species
AGCAGCCGCGGUAAUUCCAGCUCCAAUAGCGUAUAUUAAAGUUGUUGCAGUUAAAAGCUCGUAGUUGAAUUUUGGAUUCUUCCAAUUGGUCCAUCUUUUAGAUGAGUACUGGUUGUGUGGGGUCUAUCCGCCUGGUGAUACGUAAUGUCCUUUAUUGGAUGUUUCGGGUAGUCAGGACCUUUACCUUGAAAAAAUUAGAGUGUUUAAAGCAGGCUUAUGCCGGAAUACAUUAGCAUGGAAUAAUAGAAUAGGACGAAGUUGUUUUAUUUUGUUGGUUUCUAGGACAACCGUAAUGAUUAAUAGGGAUAGUCGGGGGCAUUAGUAUUCAAUUGUCAGAGGUGAAAUUCUUGGAUUUAUUGAAGACUAACUACUGCGAAAGCAUUUGCCAAGGAUGUUUUCAUUAAUCAAGAACGAAAGUUAGGGGAUCGAAGACGAUCAGAUACCGUCGUAGUCUUAACCAUAAACUAUGCCGACUAGGGAUCGGGCGAUGUUGUUUCCAUGACUCGCUCGGCACCUUAUG